ensembl:piRNA 21ur-518 ncRNA
UAUACCUACCAUGUUCUGAGG